rnacentral:lncRNA from 1 species
GGAUCGAUGAUGAGUCCCCCAUAAAAACAUUCCUUGGAAAAGCUGAACAAAAUGAGUGAGAACUCAUACCGUCGUUCUCAUCGGAACUGAGGUCCAGCACAUUGCCUCCACUUUGGCUUAUUGUGGUUCACGGCACACUCAUUUCCUCUGCACCUUCCUGGUGUCAUUGGCAUGGAAGGAAGGCCCUUGUCCAAGAAGGAUGGUCUUCGUCUUGUGUGAUCUUUGAGAUGCCAUGAGGCCCCUGGAUACAAAUGGUGUGGGCUCCUUUGGAGGCUUUUGGAUUUCUCCUGAAUGUGGCGUUGGUAUGGAAGGAAGGCCAGUGACCGCAAGGGAUGACUUUGAUCUUGGGAGAUUUUUGGAGAUGGCAAAGUGCUUCUAAACAUGUUUGGCAUGGUCUCCUUCAGGCUGGUGGAUACCUCAGGAUGGUGGCGUUGGCAUGGAAGGAAGGACUGUGUCUGUGAGGGAUGAUCAUCCUCUCAUGUGAUCCUUGGAGAUGCCAGGAAGCCCCUUGACACAUGUGGCAUGGGCUCCUUCAGAGGCUUUUGGAUCCGUCGUGAAUGUGGCAUGGGCAUGCAAAGAAAGACAGAGGCUGCAAGGGAUAAACUUCAUCUUGGGAGAUCCCUGGAGAUGGCAGGGAACCCAUGGACACAUGUGGCAUGGGCUCCUUUGGGUGCCGGUGGAUCCCUUCAUACGGUAAAGCCAGAGUUGGGUAUCAACCAGAUACACUGCAGGGGAUCAGAGGACAUGGCCUUUGUGUACUGCACAUCUGUCAGAUUUUCUCAAGCACACCCGUGUUUCCUCUUCACCUCCCACGUGGAAGUGAUGAAUUGGCCAGGACCAUGUUGGUGAGGGACAAUCAUCAUCUCAUGUUAACCUCAGAGAAGCCAGGAAGCUCCUGGACACACAUGGUGUAGGCUUCCUUGGAGGCUGUUGGAUCUCUCCUGAAUGUAGUGUUGGUGUAAAAGGCAAACCCGUGUCAUGAGGGAUGGUCAUCAUCUUGUGUGAUCCUUGGAGAUGGCAGGAAGCCCUGGACAUACAUGGUGUGGGGGCUCCUCCAGAGGCUGUUGGGAUCCUCCUGGAUGUGGUGUGGGCAUGGAAGGAAGGCCAGUGGAGACAAUGGAUGAUCUUGUUCUUAGCAGAUCACUGGAUGUGGCAGGGAGUCCUAGGACAUGUGUGGUGUGGGCUUCUUCAGGUGCUGGUGGUGUUGGCAUGAGGAAAGGAGGUAUCUUCGAGGGACAAUCUUCUUCUUGUGCGAUCCUUGGAGAUGCCAUGAGGCCCCUGGACACAUGUGGUGUGGGCUCCUUUGGAGGCUGUUGUAUCCCUUCUGAAUGUGGCGUGGGCAUAGAAGGAAGGCCAGUGGCCACGAGGGACAAUCUUGGUCUUGGGAGAUCCUGGAAAUGAUAGGGAGUCCCUUGAUAUGUGUGGCAUGGGCUCCUUCAGGUGCUAGUGGAUUCCUUAGGAUGGUGGUGUUGGCAUGAAAGGCAGGCUUGUAUCAUGAGGAAUGAUUGUCAUCUUGUCUGAUUCUUGGAGAUGGCAGGAAGCCCCUGGAAACACAUGGUGUGGACUCUUUCACAGGCUGUUGAAACCCUCCUGAAUGUGAGGCCAGAGACAGGCAGACAGCAGAUGUAUUGCAGGGAGCUGGAUGACAUGGCCCUUGGAACCUGUGCACAUGCCUGCCUUUCUGAUGCACGUCCAUGUUUUCUCUGCACCUCCCCGGUGGUGUUGGUAUAAAAAGCAGGCUUACAUCAGCAAGGGAUGAUUGUCGUCUCAUGCGAUCCUGGGAGAUGGCAGAAGUCCCGGGACACAUGGAGUGUGGGCUCUUUCGGAGGCUGUUGGAUCCCUCCUGAAUGUGUUGUGGCCAUGGAAGUAAGGCCAGUGGCUACGAGGGACAGUCUUCAUCUUGGGAGAUCCCUAGAGAGGGCAGGGAGCCCCUUGACAUGUGGAAUGUGAUCUCUGUUGGGUGCUGGUGGAUCCCACAGGUGGUCUGGCAUGGAAGAAGGCCAGAGGCUGCGAUGGAUCAUCUUUGUCUUGGGAGAUUCCUGGAGAUGGUGGGGAGCCCCUGGGCACGUGCAGCAUAUGUGGCGUGGGCUUCUUCAGGUGCUGGUGGAUCCCUCAGGAUGCUUUUCAAGGUUUUUCUAUGAGUUCUGUUAAAGAGUCUGAAAAUGGAGCGUAGAAGACAUGCUUCGAUUUCCAGGAUGGUUGUGUUUUCCAGAGAGGCGGAGGUAAACCACUGGCGCAGCCCUGCCUCCCACAGAUAAUUCCGGGUGCAGUGUUUCAUAUCUAGACUUGGACUUCUAUCCUACCAUACUUCUUUGUGUGCAGUUCAUUGUGGAACCAGCACAGAUUUUCAUACGAAAGUUAUUUCUUUUUAACCUCAAAAAGUGACAGAAUGGAGUGUAUCAUGAAAAAGUCUGACAUCAAAACCUCAAAAUGUGAUAUUGAUUGGGUGAGAUAGAAUUCCAUGGAAUUUCAUUGCCAAACCAGUGAAGUGCUAAUUUUGACAUUUGUACCAGCUAACGUAGCUGUGAAGAAACACACCAAUACACUUCUAAGGACAGCAUAGACCAAGAUCUAGGUUUCAUAUGGAUGAAUUUAUUCUUCCCUUUGAGGCAAGACAAGAAGGAAAGAAAGUAUUGGGAAUAAUGCUGCCCUCCCAUCCUCAAGGGCCAGUGGGAACUCUAAUAUUGAUUGGGUGAGAUACAAUUCCAUGGAAUUUUACCACUGAACCAGUGGAGGGCUAAUUUUGUCAUUUGUACCAGUUAACUAACUUGGGAGGAAACAGAACAACACACUCCUGAGGGUAAAAUGGAAACUCUGAGAGUUUGGUUGGCGGCAUCUAUAUACCAUAGAAACAGAGCCUGGGAAGCAGAACAGUGAGACCCAAGAGAAAUGUUCCUGCCUAUACUUGAUUGGUUUUCACAGAAUUCCAUGGACUUUAACUGCUGAACCAAUGAUGCACUGAUUUUGUCACUUGUACCAGCUAACGCAUCUGGGAGGCAACAAAACAAUACUCUCCUGAGGUUAAUGUGGACCAAAAACUAGAUUUCAUAUAAAAGAGUUUAUUCCUUCUACUUGAGGUGUGACAUGAAGGAAAGUAAUGGAAAUAAUUCUGCCCUCCCAUUCUCAAGGGCCAGGGGGAAUUCAAAUAUUGAACGGAAGUGAUUUUGGAAUUGCAUGGAAUUCUCACUGCCAUCCCAAAGAAAUGCUGAUCUUGUCACUCUUACCUGUUUCAUUCCCUGGGGGCAGAACAAAAGGACGCACUCCAAAGAUCGGCAUGAACCAAGAACUGGGUUUCAUAUAAAAUAUUUUAUUCUGUCCUCUUGAGAUGUGACAUGAGAAAAGUAUUGAGAAUACUUCUAUCACCUCAUCUUCAAGAAUCCGUAGGAAUUCUCCCAUGGUGGACUUUACGGUUAACCUGAACAGGUCUUGGAAAAAGGACUUUAAACAUUCUCCUGUUCUGUGGAAUAAGUAUACUUUUUUCUGGACAUACACCUUGUCAGUGAGUUCCAUGUGAUACUAGAGUUGCAUAGAUUUUUAACCUUUACGCCAAUGAAGAUCUGAGGCAAACAUUGCCCCUUUUUUAGAAGUUUGCAUUUGUCACUGAUAACUGUAAUAAUUGAUCUUGUUGAAAAGCCUGGGAAAUGAAGAUCUGAUAUGUCACUUUUACCGGCUUCCUCAACUGAAAAAGAAUACAAUGAAACACGCUGAGAAUUUUUGUGCUUUCUCAGUCUUGCUGAUGAUCUUUCUAUGGGCCUGAAGCGUGGAGAGUGCCAGAGAGGCUGAUCCUCAGCAGUGUGGCAGAGGAAAGUUGGGUGCGACUAAGGGGUAUGCGGUGCCCACAUGCCACUGGGUCCUCAGCAGUACCACCUGAUUGGAAGUGAUAUUGGUGGAAGACAACAUUUUGCCGCUUGGAAUUCUCACCUCCACACCAAAGAAGUACUGUUUUUGUCAUUUGCACCAGCUUCUUUCUCCAGGAAAGAUCAAAACGAUGCACUGCAAGUGUGAUUGGUCCAGAUAGCUGCCUUAUCCAACUGCCUCCUUUGGACCACUUCAUCAUGGGACAGCUUGAUGCAAUCUACUUGACAAGACCCUGGAACCCCACACCCCUCAUGGAACCAGUGUCCACCUCCCAGUCACAGUGUGACCCCAGGGAACUCUUGCCUGCUUGCUUUAAACCCACCACUUAAAAGUCUCCACAGAAAACCUGUUUGAAUAGUACCCUUGACCCAAUAAGGGCAUUGGCCCCUGGGUGUCUCUCUCUCUCUCUCUCUCUCUCUCUCCCUCUCUCUCCCUCUCUCUCUCUCGCUCCCUGACCUCUGCGUGUGGACUCCAGGCAUGCCAUAUACCCCUCAGGACCUGAAGCAAAAGAAUGAAUUAAAGAAAACUCCAGAGAAUGAGCUGACAACCUACUCCCUGGUCAGUGGCUCUCCAUGCCUACCUGUGGUCUCUUGGACACCCUUGCAGAUGACUUCCUGGGAACUCUUCUGGGAGUGAAUGUUAUCAGCAAAUUCCCAAAACAACACCCCUUAGACAAAAAGCCUCCUCACCUAUGCAUUGCCUAGACCACCCACUAAAGGUGAUGGCCACAAAGAGGUGGAUUUGUUGAGUUGGUGCCAUUCCUUCUACUGCCAGCUUCACCAAAACAAUGACACAGUCUUCCUUCCGCAUGGAGACUCUUCUCUUUCCUGUGUUGCAGUGGAUGCCUCCUGCAGAUAAGAAAUGCUUAACUGAGAAAUGCUCAUGUUGGGAUAUCAUCGAUGAGACUUUAAUUUGGGCAUGGUGACUGUUUCCCUUGCUGCCACUUGACUCAAUCCCAGGAGCCUCAGUAGAGGAUAUAAUAUUACACAAGAUGCUCAAAAUGGUGGAAUUGCUCAGUGCUCCCAUAAAUAUACAUUUAUAAUUUUCAUUUGCCACAUGGUAAACUGAAAAAUACAGACUAUAUUAAAAAGAAACUGCAUGAUUUUUUUUCAAAAAUUCAAAGCAUAUUUAAAUAAUAUAUAAAUUAAAUGCCCUCCUCUCUUCCAAUUCUGUCCCUAUAGUUUUCCUCUAUUAAGUGAACUACAUGCAUUCUUUUAGUGGAUAGAUGCACACAAACACACAAGCCAUUAUGGGGAAGGAUCCACGUGUGUGGCCAUAUUGUAACACAUUUUUCUGCAAAUCACCUCUUUCAUUUAACAGCCCUUAUUCAAUGGCCUUUUUCUUUUUCAGUAGUACAUACACAUCUGUGUCAUUUGUUGAAUGACGACAUGAAUGUUUUGUAGAUAAAAUAUAAUUAAAUGUUUUAAGCAUUUCUCACUCAUAGAUAUUUAUGUUAGCACCAAAUUUCUGUGCAAUGAACCUCCCUAUAUAUCAGUAAUUUUGCAUUUGUCUAUAAUAUCAUAAUAAAU